rnacentral:rRNA from 1 species
GACGAACGCUGGCGGCGUGCUUAACACAUGCAAGUCGAACGGAAAGGCCCUGCUUUUGUGGGGUGCUCGAGUGGCGAACGGGUGAGUAACACGUGAGUAUCCUGCCCUUGACUUUGGGAUAACUUCAGGAAACUGGGGCUAAUACCGGAUAGGAGCUGCUGCUGCAUGGUGGGGGUUGGAAAGUUUCGGCGGUUGUGGAUGGACUCGCGGCUGAUCAGCUUGUUGGUGGGGUAGUGGCUUACCAAGGCUUUGACGGGUAGCCGGCCUGAGAGGGUGACCGGCCACAUGGGGACUGAGAUACGGCCCAGACGCCUACGGGAGGCAGCAGUGGGGAAUAUUGCACAAUGGGCGCAAGCCUGAUGCAGCAACGCCGCGUGCGGGAUGACGGCCUUCGGGUUGUAAACCGCUUUCGCCUGUGACGAAGCGUGAGUGACGGUAAUGGGUAAAGAAGCACCGGCUAACUACGUG